UAAAAUGGUAACCUAAAUCCACAUUCUCUGUUCCCAGCCUAAUCCUCACUACACUUCCCCAGAAAGCCAUGUCAUAACUUGCUGGAGACAAACCCUUUCUAUUGUUCAAAACACAAAGGGAUCAAGUUGUCUCUAUUUACAAUGAACUGGCUCUUUCAAAAGGCUCUCCAUCUAAAUCAUCUGUGUACACAUACUCAGAGACAUACACACUUAAGACUGGGCCUCUGCCCCCUCUGUGUUGGGUGUCACCAGAUUAGAGACUUCUGUGGUUUCCCUCUCACAUAAACCUCUGAAUCCUGCAGGGCUUCCUUUGCAUAUGGGCCCUUCAUUAGUGUCCUGCAGAGUGUGACCACUCACCCAUGGGAGGGGAAGGUCAUCUCCCAGCCUCCGACUAAUCAUGGCUGCGGCAGCAACCCCCACCAUCUACAGCUGACAGGUGGAUCAACGUGCUCUUUGUUAAAUCACCUGGAGGAUCCACAGAGAAAUGGAAACAGCUGCUGCACUGAGGAACCAGGAGGCACCUGUGGAAUUCAGUCGUCUCUUUCACUGCCAGACUGUGGAUCAUCCAAACACCUGGAUGAAGUCUGGACACUCAGUUCUCUCUCUCUAUGUCUUUGAUUUUCAGUCGGUCAUGUGUUAAUAAGGAAAAAAAAGAAAAAUAAUGUUUUACUUUGAAGCUUAAAUGUUUGCAGUUCUUCCAGAUCUAAGUUUUCUGACUUUCAAGCCCCUUAACUGAGAAAAAUAAAAGCUAAUAUUCGGUUUUGAAGCAUGUGGGGUUUAACUCAACCCUUUAAGAUGUCAUAAUGCCUGGCUGUACAAAUGACAUAUUCUGAGUGAGGGAAAGACAUACUCCCUAACAACACACAGAGAGGUCUGGAAAGCUGUGUCAUUAAGGAAGAACCAGUAAAUGACACGGCCCAGGAGGUCCCUGGUGCCGUCAUCCAAACCUCCCCUCUCCUCACCCCGCUGAUAUCAUCGGCAUGGCCUGUGUCACAACUUGAACGGAUGGAAGCUAUUACAGCUGGUGGCAUAGGAGCGUACAGUCAUGAUGAAAAUCAGAGCUCUGCUUCUAUUUUUGCCUGACCUGAUUCCGAGUGCUGUUCGGUACUCUGAAUCGGAAGAUAUUAGAAGACAUAUACAGCUUCGGUUACAUUUAUCCAAUCAUUCCAACACCACAUGAACGCAGUAUUUCUCUAAAUUUGCAUAUUCCCAUAGGGACAUCAACCUGUUGAUGCGAUUGGCACUAAAAUUAGAACAAAAGUCACAGUUUUGAAACAGAAACUCCAAAAUUUUAACAUAUAUUUAUUAAUUUUCAGUACAAAUCAAAUUAUUUUUUCAUCCAGAUUUCAUGUUGUUUCUUUCUCUGAAGUGAGUUACCAAAACACUCCUCGCAUCAGAUCAUGUUCUGGCCCUUCUGUCAAAUGUACAACUUUUUUUGGCCCACAAGUGAAAAGGUUUGCCCACCCCUGCAAUGAACAGUCUGGGUGUGCAAACAGUUUUGUAACCUUUAUUGUCAAAUCUUUGUCUGACAAGUUUUUAUAAAUUAAAGAAUUACAUGAAAUUACAACAUAAUUGUAAGUAUAACCAAUUUUUACUAAAAACAAAGGCUGAAUCCAAAUUCUUCCCCCACCCCACGGCCUCUCCCUACCCUCCCAAACGGAGAGGUAUGGAAAAAUAGGCUGAAUUCCCACCUUAAUUCCUAAACUAAAACACCAUGUAAUGCGAUACUAUGUAGUGCCCUGGAUUUCAAAAGCAAUUCAGACACCAUGCUCACUACUUAUUUUAAAAUGGCAAAUAUGACAUCACAGAAUUCACAAAUUAAAAAUCUAAUUGAUAUGA
ensembl:lncRNA